rfam:Lepisosteus oculatus contig045025, whole genome shotgun sequence.
AGGGGUGUAGCUCAGUGGUAGAGUGCAUGCUCUGCAUGUAUGCGGUCCCAGGUUCAAUCCCUGGCAUCUCCA